AUUGAACGCUGGCGGCAGGCCUAACACAUGCAAGUCGAACGAGUGGCGGACGGGUGAGUCAUGUCUGGGAAACUGCCAGAUGGAGGGGGAUAACUACUGGAAACGGUAGCUAAUACCGCAUCCCAUCGGAUGUGCCCAGAUGGGCUUAGCUAGUAGGUGGGGUAACGGCUCCCCUAGGCGACGAUCCCUAGCGGGUCUGAGCGGAUAACAAGCAACACUGGAACUGAGACACGGUCCAGACUCGUACGGGAGGCAGCAGUGGGGAAUAUUGCACAAUGGGCGCAAGCCUGAUGCAGCCAUGCCGCGUGUAUGAAGAGGGCCUUCGGGUUGUAAAGUACUUUCAGCGAGGAGGCGUUACUCGCAGAAGAAGCACCGGCUAACUCCGUGCCAGCAGCCGCGGUAAUUC
rnacentral:rRNA from 1 species